UACGGAGGGUGCAAGCGUUAUCCGGAUUCACUGGGUUUAAAGGGUGCGUAGGUGGGUCUGUAAGUCAGUGGUGAAAUCUCCGUGCUUAACAUGGAAACUGCCAUUGAUACUAUAGGUCUUGAAUCUUCUGGAGGUUAGCGGAAUAUGUCAUGUAGCGGUGAAAAUGCUUAGAUAUGACAUAGAACACCAAAUUGCGAAGGCAGCUAGCUACAGGGGGUAUUGACACUGAGGCACGAAAGCGUGGGGAUCAAACAGG
rnacentral:rRNA from 1 species